rnacentral:pre_miRNA from 1 species
AUUAAAAUUGCUGGGUCAUAUGGUAACUGUGUUUAACUUUUUGAGGAAAUUCCAGGAUGUUUUCCAAAGUGAUUGUGCCAUUUGACAUUCCCACCAGCAGU